UACGGAGGGUGCAAGCGUUAAUCGGAAUUACUGGGCGUAAAGCGCGCGUAGGCGGCUCUUUAAGUCGAAUGUGAAAGCCCCGGGCUCAACCUGGGAACUGCAUCCGAUACUGGAGGGCUAGAGUGUAGGAGAGGUUAGCGGAAUACCGAGUGUAGAGGUGAAAUUCGUAGAUAUUCGGUGGAACACCAGUGGCGAAGGCGGCUAACUGGACUGAUACUGACGCUGAGGCACGAAAGCGUGGGUAGCGAAAGGG
rnacentral:rRNA from 1 species